rnacentral:rRNA from 1 species
UAGGGAAUCUUCCACAAUGGACGCAAGUCUGAUGGAGCAACGGCCGCGUGAGUGAAGAAGGUUUUCGGACCGUAAAGCUCUGUUGUUGGUGAAGAAGGAUAGAGGUAGUAACUGGCCCUUUAUUUGACGGUAAUCAACCAGAAAGUCACGGCUAACUACGUGCCAGCAGCCGCGGUAAUACGUAGGUGGCAAGCGUUGUCCGGAUUUAUUGGGCGUAAAGCGAGCGCAGGCGGAAGAAUAAGUCUGAUGUGAAAGCCCUCGGCUUAACCGAGGAAUUGCAUCGGAAACUGUUUUCUUGAGUGCAGAAGAGGAGAGUAGAACUCCAUGUGUAGCGGUGGAAUGCGUAGAUAUAUGGAAGAAUACCAGUGGCGAAGGCGGCUCUCUGGUCUGCAACUGACGCUGAGGCUCGAAAGCAUGGGUAGCGAACAGGAUUAGAUACCCUGGUAGUCCAUGCCGUAAACGAUGAGUGCUAAGUGUUGGGAGGCUUCCGCCUCUCAGUGCUGCAGCUAACGCAUUAAGCACUCCGCCUGGGG